rnacentral:lncRNA from 10 species
GGAGCCACCAUUCCACUGUAUUCACCCAACCUGUUUGUGCUCCAGGGUGUGCAGCAGGAGACAGUGAUCUGCGGGGCCAGUUUAGGAUUCUGCUUCCCACAGAAGGCUAAAGACAGCAAAUGAAUGAUCAACAAAUAAAUAGGAUUUCAAGUGGUGUAAAGGGCUGUGACGCAAAUAAAGGAAGGAGAGGGGAAAGAGUCACGGAAGGGGCAACUUGGAGGAGGCAACAUCUGAGCAGAUGCCUGAUCACACUGAGAAAAAUGAUGGGAAGCUAUUCAUUUUUGAAAUCUUCAUUUUAUUUUGACAUCUUCCAGCAUGAUUCAGAUACUACUCAUUACAAAGGGUCCAUCACUUUCUCAUCAAGAGUAAUCCUAAUACAUUUGCACUGGAGCCAAAACCUUCUACUGUGUUUUCAGCAGAAUGCAAACGAAUGGCACUGAUCAAAUCUCUUUAAACUGGGAGGGAGCCUGUGGUGGGAACACAGGCCCCUUAGUUGUAGUGACAUUGAUGAUAGUGGGGGAAAGCUUGUCAUUUGGCGACUAGUAAGAAAAGCAGAGGGUUUCUCAGUCAUGGCUUCUUGCUUAGGACUGGAUGGGGACUGAGGAGCAUCACUCCAACAAUGUAUGACUGAUGAGGACAAAUUGAGAAACCGCGGCUUAGUGCCCAUCCUCAUGAGAGAAGGCAAAAUAUAGGCCACAUGUCCCCCAAAUUCCGGAUGCUUGGAAGACAAGAGCCUACAGAAAUGCCAAAUGGAUUCUUAGCAUAUUUUACAGCAGCUUUGAAUAAUGUUUUCCUUUUUCAUUCCUAAUGAAUCUAAGCUUUCUUUAAAUAUAUAUAUUUUUCCCUUCUGCAUAAAAUCUUUCUGAAAGGACUGAUGGAUGAGAAUUCAUAGGGCCUUCUCAAGGGCAAAAGCAGAGAGUUCUGGAAGACAUGAUGCUUUCUGUCUUUCAUAAAAAGUCUGAACUUGGAACUGAGUACAGGGAUCGUGAGAUGGAAGUGAUAGAAAGGAAGCCCCUUCAGAUCCAGAGGGAAUGAACUUGCGUGGCAGCCAGGCCCACCAGGGCAGUGCCGGGCACGUGGCAAGACCCGAAGACACAGAGGCUCCACUUGCUUAGGGAGGCUGGGCCCAGCCCUGCAAACAGCUCCUGGACCCUAGGUUCAACAUGAGAGCCACAGAGAGCCUCUUAGGAGACCACACAAGGAGCACAGACCAAAGACCAGAGCUUCCCAGGUGGCACGCCCUGCUCAGGGACCCCUGCACUGCUCCAGUCCUGGGUGGGUGAGGUGAGAGCUUCCCAGGUGGCACGCCCUGCUUGAGGGUCUCUGCACUGCUCCAGUCCUGGGUAGGUGAGGGGGGGACACCCUGGGAUGGCUGAAGAUGGGUAAAUGCGCUGUUGGCUCCUCUCAGAGUCUUGUGUAAUUUGGCAUUAGGAGAACAAAGGUUUGGACAUUUCUUAAGCAUCCUAUUAUUUAAUAGAAAAGUAUGCAUAUUAUUAAAGAAGUGAAAAAACAAAACACUUGAAAAGCUCUUGAAAGUUAAUGAAUGAUUAAAAUCACCCCUAACUUCACUACUUAGUGAUUGUUAACGUUAAGGUGUAUAUCUUCCUAGCUUAUUUUUCUACGUAUAAAUAUAUGAAUAUAUGUAUAUAUUUCUUAAUAAGUAAGAUUUUACUUGGUACAUAAUUCGGAAUCAUCUUCUCACAUAAUAUGUAACAGGAACUUUUAAAGUCAUUAUUAAAAAGAGGUACC